UCCUCUAUAUAUGUGAUGGAGCUGCUGCAGGAGAGCGAUGUUAUUAUUUGAGCACGCCGAGUUCAGCAUCUCCAACUCGCGGAGCACACUGUAGAACGGCAACAAUGUCAUCAAACAUCUGCCCCUGCCGGCUUAGUCUCCUCAUUUUCGUCCUCAGUUUAUUGGCACUCCUAUAUAGAAGCAGCUUUGUUGCAGCUCGCCCACCUUGCGCCCCUGGCCAUGAUCCGAACAACCCCUGUCCACCAUGGUGCAGUCCGCAUUCACCUACUUGUCAUUAGCACCUGACUCCUGGGAACCCGGGAGCUCAUCCUGAUUAAUGCAUAGACUAUCUGGUUAUUUCCUUUGUUCUGUUAAUAUAAAUAUGGACGAGAUUAUUGCAUUUUCCAUGUCAGUAAAGUCGAAUCAAUCCUUAUAUUUUUCUUGUAAUAGGAAUUACACUAUAUAAGAAGAGGUCUAUA